UAAUAUCUGUGUCAUUUUGGUCUUUUGUGGAUAGUUGUCUCAUUGGCAAUCAUACCACAUCUUCUUUUUCUUUUCUUUUUUAUCAAUUCCCCUUUCCAUCUAGGUACAAAUAUCAAUUUUAUUUUCAAUAAAAGAACAGAGAUCCAAUGUCCCCGCAUUGUACAUACUUUAUGAGGGGGAUAGGAGGGGUUCUGAUGCAAGUUUAUUCUUAUUUAUUUUUUUUAUCUCGAGAGAAUAUGAGCUUCAUGAUAAAUACAGUGGGAUUUCUAUCAUAAUAUAUAUUUUAUAUAUUUCAAUUUCCAAGGUGCAAAGUUGAUUUAUGUAUUUGAUCAGGAUUAUUUUCGCAAAUGUCAAAGACAUUGCUGAUGAUAUAUAAGUUUCACAAAAAUCGGUAAAGAAUUGAUCACAUGACACUUAGGGCUAAUAAGACCAGACAAACCGACGUAAAUUCCGAGAAAGUAGGGUCACUUCGAUUCCUAUAUUCAAAAGUUCCAUAUACAGAAGUGCCGCUGUAAUUGGUUUGUUUUUGAGAUGUCAAAU
rnacentral:lncRNA from 1 species